CCAGUCUGCGUGGAGCCGACCUUGAAAUACCACCCUUUAAUGUUUGAUGUUCUAACGUGGACCCGUAAUCCGGGUUGCGGACAGUGUCUGGUGGGUAGUUUGACUGGGGCGGUCUCCUCCUAAAGAGUAACGGAGGAGCACGAAGGUUGGCUAAUCCUGGUCGGACAUCAGGAGGUUAGUGCAAUGGCAUAAGCCAGCUUGACUGCGAGCGUGACGGCGCGAGCAGGUGCGAAAGCAGGUCAUAGUGAUCCGGUGGUUCUGAAUGGAAGGGCCAUCGCUCAACGGAUAAAAGGUACUCCGGGGAUAACAGGCUGAUACCGCCCAAGAGUUCAUAUCGACGGCGGUGUUUGGCACCUCGAUGUCGGCUCAUCACAUCCUGGGGCUGAAGUAGGUCCCAAGGGUAUGGCUGUUCGCCAUUUAAAGUGGUACGCGAGCUGGGUUUAGAACGUCGUGAGACAGUUCGGUCCCUAUCUGCCGUGGGCGCUGGAGAACUGAGGGGGGCUGCUCCUAGUACGAGAGGACCGGAGUGGACGCAUCACUGGUGUUCGGGUUGUCAUGCCAAUGGCACUGCCCGGUAGCUAAAUGCGGAAGAGAUAAGUGCUGAAAGCAUCUAAGCACGAAACUUGCCCCGA
rnacentral:rRNA from 1 species